rnacentral:rRNA from 1 species
UGGGGAAUAUUGGACAAUGGGGGCAACCCUGAUCCAGCAAUGCCGCGUGUGUGAAGAAGGCCUGCGGGUUGUAAAGCACUUUCAGUGGGGAGGAAGGCCUCGGUGUUAAUAUCACCGAGGAUUGACGUUACCCACAGAAGAAGCACCGGCUAACUCUGUGCCAGCAGCCGCGGUAAUACAGAGGGUGCAAGCGUUAAUCGGAAUUACUGGGCGUAAAGGGCGCGUAGGUGGUUCAUUAAGUUAGGUGUGAAAUCCCUGGGCUUAACCUAGGAAUUGCAUUUAAUACUGAUGAGCUAGAGUGUGGGAGAGGGAAGUGGAAUUUCCAGUGUAGCGGUGAAAUGCGUAGAUAUUGGAAGGAACACCAGUGGCGAAGGCGACUUCCUGGACCACUACUGACACUGAGGCGCGAAAGCGUGGGGAGCGAACAGGAUUAGAUACCCUGGUAGUCCACGCCGUAAACGAUGAGAACUAGAUGUUAGGGGGCUUAGACCUCUUAGUAUCGCAGCAAACGCGUUAAGUUCUCCGCCUGGGGAGUACGGCCGCAAGGUUAA